GAUGAACGCUGGCGGCGUGCCUAAUACAUGCAAGUCGAGCGAACAGACGAGGAGCUUGCUCCUCUGACGUUAGCGGCGGACGGGUGAGUAACACGUGGAUAACCUACCUAUAAGACUGGGAUAACUUCGGGAAACCGGAGCUAAUACCGGAUAAUAUAUUGAACCGCAUGGUUCAAUAGUGAAAGACGGUUUUGCUGUCACUUAUAGAUGGAUCCGCGCCGCAUUAGCUAGUUGGUAAGGUAACGGCUUACCAAGGCAACGAUGCGUAGCCGACCUGAGAGGGUGAUCGGCCACCCUGCACCUGAGCCACGGUCCAGACUCCUACGGGAGGCAGCAGUAGGGAAUCUUCCGCAAUGGGCGGAAGCUUGACGGAGCACCGCCGCGUGAGUGAUGAAGGUCUUCGGAUCGUAAAACUCUGUUAUUAGGGAAGAACAAAUGUGUAAGUAACUAUGCACGUCUUGACGGUACCUAAUCAGAAAGCCACGGCUAACUACGUG
rnacentral:rRNA from 1 species